UUUACACUAAAUCCAUUGGAUGUUGGAUGUGUACGGAUUGAUAAUUUAGUCUUAGAUGCAUGAUUUUUUUAUUAGUUGUAAGUGGCUUUGAACUAGCUGUCAGAUAACUACGAGUACUCUCAGAUCUGUUCAUAGUGUCCUUUUGUUGUCGGGAUGUACAAGUACCCUGCCACGUCCAUUUGUAUUUUUGUCCAUUUGAUGAGUUAAGCCUUUUUCAACUGAUUUUUUAUAGUUUGUUCUUAUGUUGUACUGUUAUACCACUGUCCCAGGUUAGGGGAGGGUUGGGAUCCCACUAACCUGUUUAACCCUGCCACAUCAUUUAUGUAUGUGCCUGUCCCAAGUCAGGAGCCUGUAAUUCAGUGGUUGUCGUUUG
rnacentral:lncRNA from 1 species